AUGGAGGCCGACCACCACCACCACCGCCACCACGUGAACCAGAGGGCGGCUGAGGCGGGCGCGGGUCAUCAUCACCGCCAUGGGAGGAACGACAGGCGGCGGUACCCGGAGGACGACAGGCAGCGGAGCUCGCCGUUGGUGUGGAUGGCGGUGAUCCUGUGCACGCUGCUGGCCAUCGGCAUCAUCGUGGUGGGCGCCGCGGUGUUCGCCGUCUACCUCAUCUACAAGCCCCACAUGCCGUACAUGGUGGUGACCAACGCGUACCUCCAGCAGCUGGACUACAGCCCCGCCGACGGCGUCAUCCGCGACAUCCAGGUCAGGGCCGACGUGCUGGCCAGGAACACCAACUCCAAGGUCAACGCCUCCUUCUCCAGCUUCAACAUCGACGUCAAGUUCCACGGCACCACCCUGCUGCAGCUGCGGGCCGAGACCUUCAGCGUCGCCCGGGAGAGCUCCGUGACGCUGCCCUACAGCGGGGCGUCGCGCGGGGCGAAGCUGGACCUCGCCGGGAUGCGGGCCAUGGAGGAGGCGCUCAGGUCCAGGGUGGUGCCCAUCACCCUGUCCGGCAAGGCGCGCACCCGGUGGAGGAUGGGCAUCUUCCUCAAGGUCGCCUUCUGGACGCGCCUCAACUGCCCCCUCAGCUUCAGCUACCCCCCCGGCAGCGUCAUGGCCAUCGACCACGACACCUGCCGCUCCAGGUCGCCGUAG
rnacentral:rRNA from 1 species